CAUGUACUCCCUCCGUCCCAAAAUACUUGUCAUUAAAAUAAAUAUAAGGAAAUGUAUCUAGAUGUAUAUUAGUUCUAGAUACAUCCCAUUUUAUCUAUUUUGAUGACAAGUGUUUUCGGACGGAGGGAGUAUACA
rfam:Triticum aestivum genome assembly, contig: Triticum_aestivum_CS42_TGACv1_scaffold_423965_5BS